rnacentral:rRNA from 1 species
UUGAUGCGCAGGAAGGUGUUACCGAGCAGGACGUCAGCCUGCUGGGUCUCGUGUUAGAAAGGGGCAGGGCGCUGGUCGUCGUCACCAAUAAAUGGGACGGCCUGUCGUCAGACCAACGAAAGAAGG